rnacentral:rRNA from 1 species
AGAGUUUGAUCCUGGCUCAGAAUGAACGCUGGCGGCGUGCUUAACACAUGCAAGUCGUACGAGAACGCUUCAGCUUGCUGAAGCUAGUAAAGUGGCGUACGGGUGAGUAACGCGUGGGUAAUCUACCUUCGAAUUGGGGAUAACGUUGCGAAAGUGACGCUAAUACCGGAUAAUAUCAUAGAGACUUUGGUUUUUAUGAUCAAAGAUGGCCUCUCCUUGGAAGCUAUUGUUUGGAGAUGAGCCCGCGUCCCAUUAGCUUGUUGGUGGGGUAAUGGCCUACCAAGGCUACGAUGGGUAGCUGGUCUGAGAGGAUGAUCAGCCACACUGGAACUGACACACGGUCCAGACUCCAACGGGAGGCAGCAGUGAGGAAUUUUGCGCAAUGGGGGAAACCCUGACGCAGCAACGCCGCGUGAGUGAUGAAGGCUUUCGGGUCGUAAAGCUCUGUCAAGUGGGAAGAACUCCCGUGAGGUUAAUACCCUCAUGGUUUGACGGUACCACUGAAGGAAGCACCGGCUAACUCCGUGCCAGCAGCCGCGGUAAUACGGGGGGUGCAAGCGUUAUUCGGAUUUACUGGGCGUAAAGCGCGCGUAGGCGGCCGUUUAAGUCAGAUGUGAAAGCCCGGGGCUCAACCCCGGAAGUGCAUUUGAUACUAUUCGGCUUGAGUAUGGGAGAGGGAAGUGGAAUUCCUGGUGUAGAGGUGAAAUUCGUAGAUAUCAGGAGGAACACCGGUGGCGAAGGCGACUUCCUGGACCAAUACUGACGCUGAGGCGCGAAGGCGUGGGUAGCAAACAGGAUUAGAUACCCUGGUAGUCCACGCCCUAAACGAUGUCAACUAGACGUUGGGUUCAUUAAGGAACUUAGUGUCGAAGCUAACGCGUUAAGUUGACCGCCUGGGGAGUACGGCCGCAAGGUUGAAACUCAAAGGAAUUGACGGGGGCCCGCACAAGCGGUGGAGCAUGUGGUUUAAUUCGAUGCAACGCGAAGAACCUUACCAGCCCUUGACAUCCUGGGAAUUUUGUAGAGAUACAUUAGUGCCUUCGGGAAUCCAGUGACAGGUGCUGCAUGGCUGUCGUCAGCUCGUGUCGUGAGAUGUUGGGUUAAGUCCCGCAACGAGCGCAACCCUUGUCCUUAGUUGCCAGCACGUAAUGGUGGGAACUCUAAGGAGACUGCCGGUGAUAAACCGGAGGAAGGUGGGGAUGACGUCAAGUCAUCAUGGCCCUUAUGGGCUGGGCUACACACGUGCUACAAUGGUCGGUACAGAGGGCCGCAAUCCCGCGAGGGGGAGCCAAUCCCAGAAAGCCGAUCUUAGUCCGGAUCGCAGUCUGCAACUCGACUGCGUGAAGUCGGAAUCGCUAGUAAUCGCGAAUCAGCAAUGUCGCGGUGAAUACGUUCCCGGGCCUUGUACACACCGCCCGUCACACCAUGGGAGUGGGUUGCACCAGAAGUAGAUAGCUUAACCUUCGGGAGGGCGUUUACCACGGUGUGAUUCAUGACUGGGGUGAAGUCGAAACAAGGUA